ACGGGAGGCAGCAGUGAGGAAUAUUGGUCAAUGGUCGGAAGACUGAACCAGCCAAGUAGCGUGAAGGAUGACUGCCCUAUGGGUUGUAAACUUCUUUUAUGCGGGAAUAAAAAGGAUUACGUGUAGUCUGUUGCAUGUACCGCAUGAAUAAGGAUCGGCUAAUUCCGUGCCAGCAGCCGCGGUAAUACGGAAGGUCCGGGCGUUAUCCGGAUUUAUUGGGUUUAAAGGGAGCGUAGGCGGGCUUUUAAGUCAGUGGUAAAAGCGUGUGGCUCAACCAUACUACGCCAUUGAAACUGGAAGCCUUGAGUGCACACAGGGAUGCUGGAAUUCGUCGUGUAGCGGUGAAAUGCUUAGAUAUGACGAAGAACUCCGAUCGCGAAGGCAGGUGUCCGGGGUGUAACUGACGCUGAGGCUCGAAAGUGCGGGUAUCAAACAGGAUUAGAUACCCUGGUA
rnacentral:rRNA from 1 species